AUUUAGUUCUGUCUGGAAGAGAGAAGCACAAAUCAAGAACACUUUCAGGGGUGUUGUGUUGUUCCAUUUCCAUUUACCAGGUUUCUCCUCACUCAUGAGAUGUGAACCUCAACAAAUUUAUACCAGGUUGUAGAAGAGGGAUCACUUCUAUUGUUGCUAAAAAAGUUCGCUGCAGGAUAAAGGAGUCGCUGGGACACAGUUCUUGGGUCUCCCCGGGGAACUUGCUGUGGGCCGAGCGGACGCUUGUUUGACGCGG